rnacentral:ncRNA from 1 species
AAUGCCUGCUGGGGGAGUUCGCACAGAACUGAGACGGGCGGCGCCCGAACCCUUUGAACCUGAUCCGGUUUGCACCGGCGUAGGGAAGCGGCCAGAAACCUCC